AUCUGUGACGUCUGAUGAUUGCAAGUGUAUCUCACAUCUCUUUCGGGAGCUUAAAGCGCUUUAUCUCUGCUUCACCUUCUCCACUGAAUCACGAACUUAUUGAAAGACUGCGUACGUUAGUAAGGUCUAACGAUCUUCAACGAGCCUUCUCCUUGUUCUAUUCUGCGCCGCUCGAGCUUCAGUCCCACCAGGCUUACGGCGCUCUGUUCCAAGCAUGUGCAGAGCAACGCAAUCUCCGCCACGGCAUUGCCUUACACCACCACAUGCUCUCGAAUCCCUGUUUGUAUUCGCAAGACCUUUUCCUCGCGAACCAUCUCAUCACUAUGUACACGAAAUGCGGGAAAAUGUUAUACGCGCGCAAGGUGUUCGAUGAAAUGCCUGAGAGGAAUGUAGUCUCCUGGACUUCGUUGAUUACAGGCUAUGCAAAGGAAGGGAACGAACAAGAGGGUUUUAGUCUCUUCUCUGCUAUGUUAGCCCACUGUUUACCUAACGAGUUUGCGGUGUCAAGCGUGCUGACUUCGUGCCGGUACGAGGCUGGAAAGCAGGUGCACGGACUUGCUCUGAAGCUUGGUUUGCACUGUUCGGUUUAUGUGGCGAAUGCGCUUAUCUCUAUGUAUGGUAGGUGUCUUGAUGGAUACGAGGCUUGGACUGUGUUUGAGGCCAUGGAGUUUAAGAACUUGGUUGCUUGGAAUUCGAUGAUUGCAUCUUUUCAGUGCUGCAAUCUCGGGAAAGAGGCUGUUGGUGUUUUUAUGCGGAUGCGUAGUGAUGGAGUGGGGUUUGAUCGCGCCACGUUGCUUAAUGUAUGUUCUUCAUUGUACAAAUGCUCUGACUUGGUUCCUGAUGAGGUUUCCAAGUGUUGCCUUCAGCUGCAUUGUUUGAGUGUGAAGUCCGGGUUUGUUACUCAGGCUGAAGUGGCUACUGCGUUGGUUAAAGUUUAUUCGGAAGUUUUAGGAGAGUUUAGUGAUUGCUACAAGCUUUUUAUGGAAAUGAGUCAUUGUAGAGAUAUUGUUGCUUGGACUGGGAUUAUAACGGCGUUUGCAGUGUAUGAUCCGGAGAUGGCUAUUCAUCUCUUUGGUCAGUUGCGUCAGGAGAAGCUAAGCCCUGACUGGUAUACUUUCUCAAGUGUAUUAAAAGCUUGUGCGGGACUUGUCACAGCUCGACAAGCUUUGACUAUACACGCUCAGGUGAUCAAAGGUGGUUUUGGAGCUGAUACGGUGCUGAACAACUCGUUAAUCCAUGCUUAUGCCAAGUGUGGCUCUCUUGACUUGUGCAAACGUGUGUUUGAUGAUAUGGAUUCGCGGGAUGUGGUGUCUUGGAACUCAAUGCUCAAAGCUUACUCAUUGCACGGCCAAGUAGACUCAAUUCUACGGGUCUUUAUGCAAAUGGACAUCAAGCCCGAUUCAGCGACUUUCAUAGCCCUUCUCUCGGCUUGUAGCCACGCUGGUCGAGUAGAAGAAGGAAUGAAAAUAUUCAGAUCCAUGUUUGAGACACCUGAAACUCUCCCUCAGCUAAAUCACUACGCUUGUGUGAUCGACAUGCUAGGUCGAGCUGAGCGUUUUACCGAGGCAGAAGAAGUUAUCGAGCAGAUGCCAAUGGUCCCAGAUGCAGUAGUUUGGAGUGCGCUACUGGGUUCGUGUAGGAAACAUGGUAACACACGUUUAGGUAAGUUAGCGGCAGAUAAACUGAAAGAGCUAGAACCAACAAACUCGUUAAGCUACAUCCAGCUGUCAAACAUAUACAGUGCAGAAGGUAGCUUUAACGAAGCCAGUAAAAGCAGGAAGGAGAUGGAGACGUGGAGAGUUAGGAAAGAACCAGGCUUGAGCUGGACUGAGAUAGGAAACAAAGUUCACGAAUUCGCAUCGGGAGGACGGCGCCGUGCAGACAGGGAAGCCAUAUACAAGGAACUCGAGAGACUGAUUGGUCGGUUAAAGGAGAUGGGUUAUGUUCCAGAGAUGAGGUCAGCUUUGCAAGAUAUAGAAGAGGAAGAACAGAAGGAAGAGCAUUUGUUGCAUCACAGCGAGAAACUGGCGUUAGCGUUUGCAGUGAUGGAGGGACGAAGAAGAUCACAUGAUGGUGGUGUUGCUUUGAAUUUGAUACAGAUAAUGAAGAACAUAAGGAUAUGUAUUGAUUGCCAUAACUUCAUGAAGCUGGCCUCUAAGCUUUUGGGGAAAGAGAUUCUUGUCAGAGACUCGAAUCGCUUUCACCAUUUUAAAGAUUCUUCCUGCUCUUGUAACGACUACUGGUAACCGCCGACAGUGAGGCGUAAUGUUACUUCCAUCUCAAGACAAGGACAAGGACUGGUUUGGAAGUACAAUAAAAUUAUUUUUUAAAGAAUUUUAAAAGACUGUUAGGUGUGGUGCAAUUAAGGAAAAUAGAAAAGAAAAAUCAAACAGACAAGUUGUCAAGAGAGGUGGGAAGGAAGAAGACCAUCUGAUCUUCGAUCCGCUAUCGUCUUCCUCCUCGAUCCCAUUUAGAUACGUAUUCUUACUUCUGCUUUGUUCGUAGAUCUCUUGUCGGAUCACCAUUUUUUAACAUUGUCGGAAUCUGACCGAAAUGUCUAUAAACAUGAAAACGUUUACUCAAGCUCUGGCCAGAACAGCGGCUGUGAUCGAGAAGACGGUGCAAACCACAGUACAAGAAGUCACGGGACCGAAGCCUCUUCAGGACUACGAGCUUCUCGAUCAGAUCGGUUCCGCUGGUCCUGGCCUCGCUUGGAAGCUCUACGCAGCCAAAGCGCGUGACGCCACGCGUUCUCAGCAGUACCCGACAGUAUGCGUCUGGAUGCUUGACAAGCGUGCUUUGUCGGAGGCUCGUGUCCGAGCUGGGCUGUCUAAGGCGGCUGAAGACGCGUUUCUUGAUCUGAUUCGAGCUGAUGCAGGGAAGCUGGUGAGGUUGAGGCAUCCCGGUGUGGUCCACGUGGUGCAGGCGCUUGAUGAGAAUAAGAAUGCUAUGGCUUUGGUUACGGAACCUCUCGUUGCCUCUGUGGCUAAUGCGCUUGGGAAUGUGGAGAAUGUGGCUAAUGUGCCGAAAGAUCUGAAGUCAAUGGAGAUGAGCUUGUUAGAGGUGAAGCAUGGUCUGCUCCAGAUUUCCGAGACACUGAACUUUCUACACAAUAACGCCCAGCUCAUCCAUCGAGCCAUAUCUCCCGAGAAUGUUCUUAUUACUUCAGCUGGUUCUUGGAAGCUUGCCGGAUUUGGUUUUGCUAUUUCAGCAGCACAGGCUGGGAAUUUGGAUAACAAGCAAUCAUUCCACUAUUCUGAAUAUGACGUCGAGGAUUCGAUGCUGCCAGUUCAGCCAUCCCUAAAUUACACUGCACCGGAACUGGUGCGCAGCAAAAGUCCUUCAGCUGGAGCUUCGUCGGACAUUUUUAGUUUUGGAUGCCUUGCCUAUCAUUUAGUUGCUCGGAAACCGUUGUUAGACUGCAAUAACAAUGUCAAGAUGUACCUGAACACGUUGAACUAUAUAACAAAUGAAUCUUUCUCAUCUAUACCCUCGGAUUUGGUAUCUGAUUUGCAAAGGAUGCUAUCAAUGAACGAGACCUACAGACCAACAGCAUUAGAUUUCACAGGAUCUAGUUUUUUUCGAAGCGACGCUAGGUUACGUGCUCUCCGUUUUCUUGAUCAUAUGCUUGAAAGAGAUAAUAUGCAGAAGUCUGAGUUCUUAAAAGCAUUAUCAGAUAUGUGGAAAGAUUUUGAUUCCCGUGUAUUACGGUAUAAGGUGCUUCCACCUCUUUGUGCAGAACUUAGGAAUUUGGUUUUGCAACCAAUCAUCUUGCCAAUGGUUUUAACUAUAGCACAGUCUCAGGAUAGGAAUGACUUUGAGUUAAUAACUCUACCGGCUCUUGUUCCUGUUCUGAGUACUGCUUCUGGAGAUACAUUACUCUUGCUUGUAAAGCAUGCAGAGCUUAUUAUUAACAAGACUGAUAGCGAGCACCUUGUAUCGCAUGUCCUCCCUUUGCUUCUCCGAGCCUACAAUGAUAAUGAUGUACGCAUACAGGAGGAAGUUCUUAAGAGAUCAACAUCUGUCGCUAAACAACUCGAUGGUCAGGUUGUGAAGGAAGCAAUUUUGCCUCGCGUACAUGGCUUGGCUCUCAAAACAACAGUUGCUGCGGUCAGAGUAAAUGCUUUGCUCUGCCUAGCAGAGCUGGUUCAAACGCUUGAUAGACCCGCUGUCAUUGAAAUUCUGCAAACAGUUCAGCGUUGUACUGCUGUUGAUCGUUCUGCACCUACCCUUAUGUGUACCCUUGCCAUCGCAAACGCAAUUCUCAAACAGUAUGGAGUUGAAUUUACAGCGGAGCAUGUUCUUGCUCUGAUGAUGCCGCUUCUCACUGCCCAACAACUUAACGUCCAGCAGUUUGCCAAAUAUAUGCUAUUUGUCAAAGAUAUUCUCAGAAAAAUAGAGGAAAAGAGAGGAGUUACAGUGAAUGAUUCUGGAAUCCCAGAGGCGAAAUCUCAUUCUGCUGCCAAUGGAGUCCAGUUUCAGUCGUCGAACCAAACGCCUGAGAAGGUUGCUUCUGCAGCAAAGAGCAGUCCAGCUUGGGAUGAAGAUUGGGGUUCUCCGAGUAAAGAUUCUUCUGUGAGAAAUCAUGCGUCUUCUCAUCAAGUCACAAACGAUCAGCUUAACAAAUCCUCAAACCAGUCACAGCCUUUGCCAAACAAGUCAACAGCGCCAACCACAUGCUCUCCUGUGGACAUUGAGUGGCCUCCAAGACAAUCGUCAAGCCUCACUGCUCCAGUUAUAGCUGAUGAGACACAGAUAAACACAGGAACAUCAUCUACUCCGGGUUUUGAUGAACUAGAUCCUUUUGCUAAUUGGCCUCCACGUCCCAACAACGGCACUUCUGUUGCUUCUACUGGUCUCAACAAUGGCACCGCAUCUGGUUUUGGCAACAAUUUAACAGGCGGCACUCCAUUCCAGACAGCUAACAAUGACAACUGGGUAUUCAGCAAUGCCUCCUUGUCUUCGCUGCAACCACCCCAGCAAAGACAGGGCCAAGGAGUGUCAUCUUUCUCCAGCGGUUCUAACAAUAACCAGAAGCCAGCAGACAUCAGCUCUAUAUUCAGUUCAAGCAAAACCGGUCAACCUGCAAUGAAACUCGCGCCACCGCCUUCAACAACAAUGGGAAGAGGUAGAGGUGGCACCUCAAAGCCCAAUGGUUCACAAACAUCUUUAUUAGAUUUAUUAUGACUAAAGGCUCCCGAGGUUGGUGUUUGGUCGUGCAGUGAAGAGAAGCUUAUACACAUGGAGAGUGCGCGAUGUAAGCAUCUUCUUGGAUUAGUUCUGUUCACAAAUAAACCUUACUACAGCUUCAUGGUUUUCAGUUGCAAGAUCCGUCAUAAAUAUAAAGUUGAGUGUGGGAGUCAGUCUCUCCACUUGUCUUUUAGAAAUAAAAUUGCAUUAGUAACAAACAUGUGAUCCUAAAAGUUGAUAAUAUAUGUCAAUAGGAAGUUCUAUAUUUAAGAGAUUGUAAGACUUUUUCGCCGGACUGCGACAAGUUGAAGAUUCGAGUAGGAGAAAGUUCAUGAGUACAUUAUCAAACCAAGAUAUAUCAAAUACCACAAAAACAUUUAUUACAAAACCA